AAUGAAUAACCCAGAGAUGGGU
rnacentral:piRNA from 1 species